ACGAACGCUGGCGGCGUGCCUAAUACAUGCAAGUCGAACGGUCUUUCUAUGGAAGCUUGCUUCCACUGAGAAGAUAGUGGCGAACGGGUGAGUAACACGUGGGUAACCUGCCCAUAAGAGGGGGAUAACAUCCGGAAACGGGUGCUAAUACCGCAUAGUUUUCUUGAUCGCAUGAUCGGGAAAGGAAAGACGGCCUUUGUGCUGUCGCUUAUGGAUGGACCCGCGGCGUAUUAGUUAGUUGGUGAGGUAACGGCUCACCAAGACGAUGAUACGUAGCCGACCUGAGAGGGUGAUCGGCCACAUUGGGACUGAGACACGGCCCAAACUCCUACGGGAGGCAGCAGCAGGGAAUCUUCCGCAAUGGACGAAAGUCUGACGGAGCAACGCCGCGUGAGUGAAGAAGGUUUUCGGAAUCGUAAAACUCUGUUGUCAGAGAAGAACAAGUUGGAGAGUAACUGCUCCAGCCUUGACGGUAUCUGACCAGAAAGCCACGGCUAACUACGUGCCAGCAGCUGC
rnacentral:rRNA from 1 species